CCCAUUGUAUCCUUGGAGGCUGGCGCAUGCGCAGGACUGGCGCUCAGAGUGGCAGAGGGGCCAGCGAGCUGGAGAGUGCAGGGGCGCGUGCACUGGAGGCGUGGCCCCUGGUGCGGAGGUGGCUGCCUCGGAGGUUUGUGUGGGGGGAUUGGCGGUUUCUGGAUCCUUCCUCCAGGAUUUUCAGCGCUGGGGAGUUCUCCUUUCUGCAGUGUGGAGGAGCGCUGGGCAGGAGGCGGCGCUGAGGUCAAAGACCAAGGGCAGAGGUCAUCGAGAGGUCAAGUCUAAUCUACCUGUGGAUGUGGCAGCCUUAACUAUGGAUGUUCAAGCCAGACAUUGCCAACAGAGCCACAUCUCAUCAUCCACAGCACGGACUGUAGGAGAAAGCCCAGAGGAGCAAUGAAGACAAAGAAGACAUGACACCUGCAAAAAUCAGUGGAGUAUUUCUACAUAACAAACCUUCCAGGUGAAUGACGGUCAGUAUCUUCCACUGCUCCAGCUCUCGCAAUGAACCUAGAACCUGCCCAGGGUAAGCCUGAAGACCACGCCCCGCUAGUCCAC